rnacentral:lncRNA from 1 species
CUCGUGCUAGGUUUCAUAAGUGUCUAACUAAGCUUAAGUAAAUUAGCCACUCAUAGCAAGUAAAACAAAACAAAUAUUAGUUGUAAGCAACAUGAAUUACAAACUGAGUCUUUGAAAGGAAAAUUCCUCAAAUCGUCGGGCUUCCCUCCUCUCGAUUAGUUGAAAUUUCGGGCUGCUAUUCCAGAGAGUGGAUCGACUUUUGCUGGUUCAAUUUGAGAUUUUUUCCCUUUCCUUGCUCGAGUGCCAAGUACCCCCUGCUCUUCUGUUUUCGACUCCCCCUUUUAAGCUGCUGAACGCCCCUUUUUUAAUGGAAUAUUCAAAAUUUGACCUGCUCAUUCUUCUUAUCCUUUCGCAUAAAAAUAGCUCCAACUCACUUAGAGUGUCAUUUCAAUUUUACUUCUUAAAGCUGAACAGGAUCAUUUAACUUUAAUUAAAUUCGGUCACCACUCCAAGAGGGAAAUUAAAUAAAUCCUUUGCUUAAUUUGCUGCACAUUCGGUCUGCUGCACUUCUAUUGGACCGAAUUUUCUUCUUUUGUCCCAAUGCCAAUUUAAUUUCUUCAAAACCAGCAUAUGAUCAUCCUCAUCCAGCAGCUUUAUUCAUGCAAAUUAAAUUCUAAAUGGAGCCCAUACGGACAUCAAAAUGUCCUUUACCUGCGCAUGAAUUAAAAUUAACAUUAAAUUGUUGAAUUGGAGCAAAAUUAAAUUAUUACGGCAUGGAUGUACUUAAUCAAUUUAGGCUGAAUUAUAAAUUAAUUGAUCAAAAGAUUAAUCAACAAUUUAAAUAAUUUAGCUGAAUAAAUUAAGCUCAAAAUUUAACUUAACACCUACUAUGGCAAAGACUUCCUUGAUAACACUGAUUUGAAUACAUUUGAGAAUAUAGAAAUGGAAGAUGUUGUUAAAUAUUUAACUUAGGGUAGAGGUACAUGGAAUUAUAAGCCGGUUACAACCUUACCAACUAAUUUUAGUCAAGCAAUAAUGUUUCCAGUAGUGAAAAUGUGGAUGAAAUUCAUAGGUACUAGAAUUGCACCCACAUUGAAUGUUUCUAACGUUAAUACUUUUCGAUCCAUUCUUUUGUAUGGUAUUUUGUAAUGAAAGCAAAUAUGUGUGGACAAGUGGAUUUAUUGUGAGAUGAGGUGCUGUGUGAAAAGCCAAAAAGCUGGGCUUUUCUUUCCUCACCUCGUGACAACAUUGUGUCGAGAAGCAGAAGUUCCAAUGGGAGAAAAUGAGCAGUUUAUGAAGCCAAAAAAGAGUAUAAUUGGAGAUUCACUAUAUAAACAAUAUUUUGAGCUUCAGAGGAAGCAAUUUAUUGAUUGAAACCAGAGGAGGAAAGAAAAUAUGGAUAUUUCGAUGUCACUAAAGUGGAAGGAAAAAUUGAAAAAUUGAAAUAUCGGAAAGGGGCAAGUGGGAGCAUCGAAGAAAAAAUUUAUGGAAUGAUCAGAUGGAUGCAGGAGACGGGCCCAAUACUUCAAGAAUUUUCCCAAAUGAAUGGAUUAAGAGCAUUGAAUUCCGCCAGACAUGUUCAGUCCAACACAAAUCUAUUAUAUUGAUGAAGAGGAAAGAUGAGAUAGAAGACUAGUAUCUCUAGAGGAAUAUGGACGAGUAUAAAGUAGUAUUUCAGCCACAAUACUCCACACCAAAAGGGCCCAUCAUCCGAAGCCCAACCAAACAUGCACCUUCGACGAGAGGGACUUCCCAUAAUGAAUAUGGGUCGGGAAAAGGAAAAGCACUGAUGGUGAGGGGGCAAUUGCCCUAUUUUGAUGAUUCGAAUGAUGAUUAAACUAGAUUUUUCAUUUUUCAAUUAUGGGAUUGUAUUAACUUGGAUAAACCUUAGUUUUUUUUAGAAGUAGGAGUAACAAGAGAUUUUUGUUUGACUUUUUGCAAUAUUUAGAAUUUUCUGUGUAGGAACCUCACAUGAAGAAGCAGAACGAUUCUAAUAUUGCAACGAUCAAAGGGGGAGGAACCCAUUAAUAGUCUGUAGAACUAUCUCGAUCAAUUGGGUAACUUCUUACCUUAUCUUUAUAGAGGCUACACAUUGAGGACAAUGUGUUAUCUAAAGUGUGGAGGGUAACAUAGAAAAUUUGUUUUAAAUUUUUAUGCUUUUCUUUGAUUUUUUUCUUGUUAAUUGUGUGCUUGAGCUUGUAGAAAUACAAGUGAUUGAUUAAUGAGCAUAUACAUAGGUUGAUAGUAUUUAAGGUAAAUUUGGUAUCAUGAUAGGUGAUUUUAAAUUUUUGAUUAUUAGAUUAUUAAAUUCUAUAUAUUACACUGUGAAUAGGCAUUAAGCAAUUGAAUGUCCCAAAUGGUAUAGAGAAUAUAAGGAAACAAUCAUGCUAGUAUGAAUGAUAAAUUAUUGAAUUUGUGAUUGUUUGGUUGACUAAAUUUGUGAAUAUUGAGAUACCUAGGGAUAACCUAAGGCAUCGUUUGGUAUGCACCUAAACCUAAAAACCUAACCCUAUUUAUUCAUCCUUAGUACCUAUCUUGAGCCAAAAAACACUUCUUAAUGAACCUCUAUAUAAAACCCAAGCUAAAAAUGAUAAUUUGUGCUUACCCUUUUCUUUGGUCGUAAACUGCAUGAUUAUAGACGUUUGACCAUACAUAUUGAGGAUUAAGUAGAGACAUUACGGUGGUUUUGUAAAAAUAGAGUGAUAAGAAAGAUCAGUGUAGUAUGGUGAUUAUAGGUUAGCUUAAAAGUGCAAAAAGAAAAAAAUCAAAAAGGAGGAAAUUAAGCGAGUAGGAAAAGUACGUGAAAAAUAAAAGCAUUUGUGAGUGAGGUGCUGUGAAAAAGAAAGAAAAGUGACAAAGUAACAACAAUAGAAAAAUUUGCUCAUUAAUGCACGAAAAUGCGUGAGCUAGUCGUAGUUACUAUAUGAUGCUGAGAUUUCCUAUAAAGAGACAUAAGAAAGGUCAGGGAAGGAGAGAGAAGGCGGUGAGUGGGAAAAGGGUCACUAAGGGGGAGAAUAGGGGACAAUAUGAUGUACAAAACUACUUUCGUGCUUGAUUAUGUGUAAAUAUGAUAUGUUUAUUCAUGUGUUUCAAACCAACAUUUGUACCAUACUGACUCAAGGGUCGUCUUUUCAUUAGUUGUUUUUGUUUGUUUUGCUUGAGGGAAGCAAUGACUUAAGUGUGGGGGAGUUUGAUCUACUAUAAUUCAGUGUAGCAGAUUAAACUAGCUUUUGCACUUUAGGAGUUUGAACACAAGCAUUUUGGUUAAGUUUUAUAUAUGUUUCCAUAAUUUUAGUUAAGUUCAAUAAAAUGUGUAAUUUGAGUCUUUUAUUGACCUUAGGGUCUGAAUGAGGCCUCAGGGUGAGGUAAUAUGCUUUGUGAGCGUGUAGGAGACCAUUAGAAGGCGUGCUAACUUGAUAAUAGUUAUUGUGAUACAACAUGGAGAGCUAGAUAUCGCAACAUAGAGAGAGGAAUAGAAGAAUUCCAAGACUGCCUUUAAUGUCACAACAUAGUCUGAGGAUGUUGCGACACAUCCCUAAAAGACACACUAAAGAUGAAGCAUACUACCUUUGAUGUCGCGACACAGGACCUGGCAUGUCGCGACAUAGGCACUAUACAGGAAAUAAUUAUGAGCAAGAGGCAUUUUGGUCCGCACAAUCAGGCAUUAAGCACAAGGAUGACAGUUGACUUAGGGUUAAGGACGACAACCACUUUAAAGUCUAUAAAUAGGCUCAAUUAACACAUGUUAUGCAUAACUUUCAUAUUGUAUAAUUUUCUUCCUAGUUCUAUUCUUUAGUUUUUCUCUUCUUUUAGGCUUUAGGUUCAUUUUAGUUUUCGUUCUUUGCUUUGUAGAAGAAAUUAGAUUUGUGAAACAUGAUCAAACUCUGUAAGGAUUCAACAUUCUAUUGUAAUUCAAAUCAAGCUUCUUCUAAACCUUAUAUUCUUGAAUUAUUUUUCAUGUCUAUUCUUUUUAUCAAGUUUAUAUUUUUAUAAGACCCGUGAGGAAUUAACCCUCUUGUGGGGGAUUAGCUAGUGAAGGUAUGAUUAAUUAACUGUUUUGUAGGAUUCUUUUAAGCGGAUCAACUUUUCAGGAAAGGAACAACUUAAAUUCUAGGCCUAACAACCCUAGGAAGUCAUUAAGGUGAGAAUUAACCUGAAAUUUGUAUGGCUUAUUCGUUAACACUUUAACCCUGAAUCAGUUUUGGACUGUGAGGUCGAGAGAUAAGUAGUUCUUGCUGACUCAUUAUUCUAGUGGAAGAUCAGAAAAUCCUACUAGGAUAUUGACUAGUUGAUUGAACAAGAAAACUUGAAGCUAUAAUUGAUUAUGAUUAUCGAAGCAAGCUAAUCACCCAUGCUCAGCUUUGAUAAAUUUACUAUUUGAUUUCUCAUUAUUUCUUUAUUUCUUUAUUUCUUUUCAGUUUAUAUUUAUUACUAUUAAGAAUCCUAAAAACCUUUCUUUUUAUUUGAUCAUAAUAUAAUUCAUCUAAACUAAUUAGAUCUAUUUAUGCUUAGGUUAGAAUUAAUUUAAUGCUCGCCUCCCUUGGGUACGAUUUUCAGAGUACUCAUCUACUACGUAGUAAUUAUAUUACAACCUGACCCGUAUACUUGCGGAUACCAUUUUUUCAUAUAUUUUGUAAAGAUUUCUAUUCUGAACAUUGGUACAUCUGGAGGUGGUCAAAAUCCAACACCGUACUUACUCAAAACCUAUUAGGAAAUUCCUACUUUCUAAAACAAAACCCAAGCACUAGGGCUUCUCUGGUAGGAAUGUUACAUUCUCUUCGUAGAUUGCCACAAAGGCUUCAUUUUCAUAGAUUGCCACAAAAGCUUCCUUAUCAUAGAUUUCCACAAAGGCUUCCUUAUCAUAGAUUACCACAAAGGCUUCCAUUUUCUUGUAUGUUCACGAUAGAGAUUUGCAUAGACUCAUAUUUCGUGAGGUUUUCCCUUUAUCGUCCUGGGUCACGUAGAGAACCCCCUUUUGGGUAAUCACCUUCUUUUAGUUUCUUUUUAUAUGAUUCCAUAGCGUAGCUAUGGUCUUACACAAUAUGGUGCCAUGGCCAUGAACUCUCUUUAAGAGAUUCACAUCGGAGAUCGUGUUUUUAGUCCCAACAGACCACUUUAGAUGACUCUGUAGAGAUAGACACAAACUUAUCAUGCUCAAACCAACUCUCAUCGAAACAUUUCGAGUAGCAUAAAACUAAGACGUAUAUACAUAAUUCAAACAUCUAGAUGCAACCAUAAUUCACACCGACUUACUUUAACUCAAUAGGUCUAUAGCAAGUAUGCUUAUCAUUCUCAACAAACAUUAGCACGAUCAUAAACAUACUUUAAUAACCACACAAAGGGUCACAUACAUAGCAAAUCGUACCUCAAGGAUCACAACAUCAUCUUUCAACCACUCUCUUACAGAUCUACAAGUACCAUAAUCAUACAAAUAAGAGUAAGUAUAGAGACUCGCCUAAUUUUCUCCUACUGUAGUUCAAAGCUCUUUAUCCAGGCUUUAAUUGUGCAAUCAAUAGUAACUACUGCUACAAAAAAAGGAGGCUCAUCAAGAUCUAUUCAUAUACCCCCUAUUCAUGUCUUUUUUAACACUAGGAAUCCCCAAGCAGGGUCCUUUUAUCUUUUAUCUCACUGAUCUACUAAGUCUAACAGAUUUACUCUUCAUAACAUAAUAUACAAAGUCAUAAAUCUUACCUCGACGUGGUUUAAUCAUUGGUAAAGAUCUAAAUCUUCAACUUUAGCUCAUGAGAGAGAAAGAAAUUCUUUGGGUUCUUUUAGAUCUAGACAGAAAUACUUAUUCAAGAAGGAAGAAGAAAAACUCCAUCUUUUAGAUCUAAAUGCCUAUAUAUAGAACCCAAGCUCUUAUUAGAACCUACCACGUGAAAAACACUUUCAAAGCUACAUUUAUAAACGGUUUAUAAAUGUAAAUAGAAAUCCACUAUUUUUUAUAUUCCUAAUUCGUCCCUUUUUUUCUUUCUAACUACCUCGUUAGAAUGUAACCAACACAACAACUCAAUAAAAUAGGCGUACAAUACCUUUGGCAGUAAUCCCCAACACUCUUACCAAAUCUCUUCUUCUUUAUAACUUAAUACAUUCUGAGAACAAUCCUCACUUAACAAUCCAACACCUAUUAUGUGCUCGAUCUAUACUCUAGAACAACAAUUGGGCGAAUAACACUACGCCACUCAGGUUACUUUCAGUUUAACCGCCAAAUUCAAAACCCGCCCAAAAUUGGGUGUUACAUUAUGUUUUUGUGUGAACUCAUACUUUGUGUGUUGCGAAUUCAUGUUGAAUGUUGCCAAGUUAUGUUAGUUGAUGUAUGUGAACUCUUAAGUCUUACUAUUGUUUGACACACGAACCUUUCCUUUGAUGUUUUGUAAGCUUGCAUGUUUACAUCCUAUAUAUGAAAAUAAUUCCGUUGCAAUGUUUUAAUUUAACAUAUUAGUGUCGUAAGUAAGUGGUGUGAUGGAGGCUAGGUUGGGAGUGAACGGAGAGUCACUUUGGUAGAUAAUGUAGCACAUCAGAUUUGGGUCGAACCUACUCGAUCAGGUUUGGGGUGUUACACAACCAUUAUGAUCGUUAUCGGUAACAUUGGUUCUGUAAAACCUUAUGACACCACACCAACCACGAUAGUCUCUCAACCUGGCGUUACAACUAUUAGCCCUAACGUAACCAUUCAUGUCGUGUUUAGUUUUGUCAACCUUGGUUCACUUGGCUUUUUAGUCUUCAUCCAUGUCUUCCACUUCAAUGGAAUUGUGAUUAUUCUAAAAAAUUUUCCAAGUUCUAAAGAUAGCCAAAUAAGCUUUGAGUCGCUAUAUGUAGACCUUGGCCCUUCAUGAUGUGAAGGAUCAAUUUAUUAAGAACUUUUCCUUAGGGCACAGGUUAAAAAUUUUUUCUAUGAAAGAUAAUCCUAUUUUGAUAUAACAUCCCACACAUACUUGUAGCCAUAGUUGUUUGAAAUGGGUGAGAACUCUAGAAAACAGAGUUAUCUUCAACACUUUUAAACUAGUAAUUCAUGCAGAUUUUGAGUGUUUGAUAAAAACUUUUGGAGUUUUUUUUCUGUAAUUUUGUCUUGGUAAAUGAUACUAAGAAAAUUUUGCUAAUUUGAUCAUUUUAUACACUAAAACACAUAAUUUUUGAAGUUUUUGUGUCAGCUGAUGCACUAGAGGAAAAGAAAGUCUUGAAGUUCACCUUUUGAUGCUUAAUGCUGUAGCAUUUCUACAACAUAAGCCAUGUAGAAGAGGAUUGAUGUAUGGUCAUCUUUUGGUGCCCAAUUAAAGGCCAAUUGGACUUUGGAAAUUCUUUUGACCCAACUUAACGAUUGGGUCAGAAAAAUGGACAGCCUACUAAGGAGAUACGAGCCCAAACUAAUCACUAAGGAGGAGAAGGCCCAACUGUCCAUAAAGGUGCCCAAAUUAGCCGACUUGGUAAAACAUUAAAAGUCAGCCACAAAAUUCCCACAUGUGAUCGUCCGACUCCCCUCCUCUUUUUAAGCUUUCUCUCUCAUGAAUCAAGCAUGAAAUUCAAAGCCAUCCACUCACUUUCCUUAAAGCAAAGGCUGACCACAUAAGAAGAGAGAAUCAAGGGUGUAAUUUGCUAAAAAUAGACGCCCUCUACAUUUAGAAAUAGGGGCUAACUAUUCAUUCAUUUCACUCAUCCGUCACUCACCAUCUCUUCUCUUAUUCUCUAUUCUUUCAUUUCCCGUUCGAGAGAGCAACACAAGAGUUUGAGAGGAACAUUUUAGAAGUUGUUUUUAAUAGUAAAAUUUUACAUUCUUGAAGGCAAUUGUGUGAAGGAGCAAAGCAAAAGGAAGGAGAAAAAGUAACGCAAGCUGAGCUACAGAAAAACACCUGAUUUGUCUUCUAGUUUCUUUCAUUUUUAAACUUUUUAUUUUUGUUCUGAAUUGAUGAACAUGAUUGCUAAAUAUUUUUUUGUUUCCAGUUUAAUUAAAAUGGUUUAAUUUUGUUGUUGUUAGAUUGAUUGCGUUCAUUUAGCUUAAAUUGUUAUUAUUAUGUUAAUGUUGUUAUGUGCUUUGGUUGUUUAUGCAUUCAAAUAGGAACAUGAACAUGCUACUCAUGCAUUAUGAAUGUAGGGAAUCAACUGAAUUAAUAAUUUAAUUCUAACAAGAUUGUAAUUAAUUGACACAAUAUUUGAGUGAUGCAUGUUUGGUCUUUUUAUGAUAAAUUAGGUCAAAAUAGUAAUAAUACCAAAAGAAAUUUAUUACUUGCAUAACCUCAGAUUAAAGUGAUUAAACUGUUUCAGUAUAGAUGUAUCACUGUCACUUCACAUAAUAUGAUGUCUACUUAUGAGAUUUUCAAGUUGACUAAACAUAGAAAUAUGCUAGAAAAACUUAAUAAUUAAAUAAGUAUGACUUCUUGAGUUAAUAAAUAGCUAAAUUUUCAUGGUUUACUUCCAUAACAUCAUUAACAUUAUUUUAAUAAUUUUAAGUUAAAAAAGGUAAUUAAUCUAACUUAUUCAUGUAAUUGAAAUUAAAUCUUGUGAAUUGUUGCUUUUGAUUCUAUGCUUACAUUUCUAUUUGUUUUUGCAUAAUUAGUUAAUUUUAGUUUAGUUAAUUAGUUAAUACAAUCUACUCCCAAUUAUUGUCCAUCACCAAUUUGCUAAGUUUUUAUUUUCACAAAUUUGCAUAUACAGUCAUUGUGGAGACGAUACUUUUUUACUUACUAUUUUAUUACUUGUUGACGAUUGUGUACACUUGCACAUCAUUAGAAUAUUUUGUGACACUAGGCUAGACCAGUCAGUAAGACCGUUUGGACUAGGAUUCGAUCGAAGUAUUGAUCCAGAGAAAGGCAUCAAACCAGUUGACUCGUAAACCGCUACGGACCUGAUGAACUAGGCCAAAAACUUGAUCGAACUGGUAGUUAAAUUGGUUUUUUAAUUUUUUAAAUAUUUUUUGUUUUUAUGAUUUUUUAAUGAUUUAUUUAAUCAGACUCUAUGGAUUAGUUAAACCAGUAAAUCGAUUGCCUAAUUGAUUCAACCACCAAAUCGAUUUUGAAAACCUUACUUGUAUCAAAUAAUGAUUUUUAAUUCUCAAAAGUCAAAAUAUUAUGUUAGCAUGUCAAUAUAGCGUACAUGUGCCUUAAUGGUUCACUCUUUAAAAAAUGGUAAAACAUCAACAAAAACAUCUAGAUUUUUUUAAUGAAGAAGCUUUAUGAAGCUAAAGGGACUUGGGUAGAAGAAGUCCUUUGAAUCUUAUGCGUUAGAACAACCUUGAAAGGAACAUGGCACACUCCAUUCCAAUUUCCCAAUGGCACUAAAGGAAUUGUCUCUCUUGAAAUAGGCAUCUAUAUUGUAUUGACUAAAUACCCUAACACUUAAUUCAAUGACAAGAACCUAUGAGCUGACUUAGACUAAUUGAAAAAGUCAAGGCUUUUGUCAAAAAAUUGGUUAGAGCAAAACAAAUAGCUAGAUGGUAAAAUAGAAGGGUCAAAUACAAGCAAUUUCAAGUAGAAGUUCUAGUGCUAAGGUGUUGUGAAGUAAGUAGGCCACCUUCUAAAAGAAAAAAAAUUUUCACUUAUGUAGGAAUGGCCUUACAAAGUGUUUAGCGUCUUAAGUCAUAGUGCCUACAAGGUAAUUGCAAUGAAAAAUAAACUUGUCAGCAACUCCUAGAAUGCUAUUUAUAUAAAGAAAUAGUACACCUAAAGGCAUUCUCUUUAUGAUUAUAUACUCUAUACUCGCACGAAGCAAAUAUCUUUGGCAUACAAAGCAACAGAUACCGAGCAUGACAUAUUAUGCAACAAAAAUAAUAUAGGAUAAUGCAUUUAUAUAUAUAUAUGUGGGGCUCCCUUAACCCAAUAAAGGAGUUUAAACAUUUAGGGUAUUUAGUCUCUCUAACAUCCAAAUGGAAAACAAGCCAACAAAUUCAAUAAAAAAAUAGAACUUUUAACCCUUUGAAGGGGAUGAAUAAUUAGCAAUAGUAUCAUUUAACAUGGAGCUUCGAUCAAACGAUGGUAGCAACAUUAAUAGAAGACUUAGAAACAAUAAUGACACCAUCAACCUUGGGGAAUUCUCUAGCAACCUGGGCCAUAUUUCCUCAAGUUCCUCUUCAAAAGGGUUGAUAACAUUGUAGUCCAUGGAAAUUAAUUUGAGGUCUUUAAAGAAAAACACAUUCGACCAGUCCAAAGGUCAAUAUAAAAAUUGCACCUCCAUUGAAGUGGCCUUAUGAUAUACUUUGGCAACUAACAUAACCUCCUCAUUCCCGGUUCUCUCUUCUUGCAAUUACCUAUAAAGGUUUUUAAUUUUCUUCUUUGUUGGCUUAGCCUCUAUAUGAAGUUUCUCUAUGCCAGUAGCAUGCUGAGUUGCUACCAAAUUGGUGAACUAGUGCACCACAGUAAGCUCUGCCUUCAACUCAUGUUCGAUUGCAGUUAUUUACUAAAAUCUCUCUUUGCCACCUUCACAUUUAGCUCUUGUGACUUCAACAAGACCUUUUUGGCUUCAUUCUUUUUCAAGAAAUUGUCUUCUAUUUCUGUUGCACUUUGGCGUGACGCCACCUCCUUCCAAUUAGCAUCAAUGGCGCUUACUUACCCUGAAAUCACCUAUUUGAUUAUAUGGAUAUAAACAAAACGCCGAAGUAGCACUACUAAACAUUAACUCUUUGUGAAAUAUGCCAUACCUCUUCCACAGUGAUUGCUACGAAGUUAAGCAGGUUGAGAGCACCAAUUGCACCUACGGAUCCAAUCCUAGUCUAGACACUUGUUAACCAAUCACAAUCGGUUUUCUCAUUGAUAACAACUUCACCGACACUCUGAUCUACAACAUACUUCCCCUUAUCCUCAUCUACACUAACAAGUGUCUUAAAAACAAUAUUUCCCUUGUUGUAGAUGGAAUUGGUGCAAGGUCCACCAUGGUUAUCUCUCUUCUUUUUUCAACGCUCUUGUAUUGCACCAUUUCCCUUAGUUUGCUCAUUCUCCCUGUUGCAACAUGUUUUGUAUAAUGCUUUACAAGAAAAAAAACCAAAUGAAUAGAAAACCACAAUUAACAACAUAAACCCUUACACUAGUCAAAACUUAGCUUAUCCCAUAUGCAUUUGGAGAUACUAGUGGCUCUCCCUUUUUUGACUGCCUCAUGCUUCUUAAAUGUAUCUUUCAAUUGGUUCCUAACAUCAAUGGAACCUCAUCCUCAUCAGAUCUACCACUAGGAUUAUCCCUUGAAGAAGAGGUAAUAGCAACAAACCUUAAAUCACCUAUGCUGAAAAAUGGUCGCAAACUCCAACCAAUAGCAGUAAGUGAUAGAACAAAGUGAGGGAAAUGUAGUGACUCAAAAGACAUACUAAACCCUUACAACAUAAAUUGGAAAUAGACCCUCGUCUUAUUCUCCUUGAGCAAACAAUGUCAUAUUAGGAUCACUACAUGGUAUAAUUAAGAACACAAACAAAAAUAUAUACAAGAGCAAACAACAUUCUUCCCUGGUGGCACACCAAGUUGAACUAGGAUUCCCCUUGAAACCACACCAGUUUUCCAACCUAGGAAAUAUUCUCAAACCUUCUAUCUUGUCAAAACUUCCUUAAAACGAAAUCUUCAUUGCAGAAAGAAGUCCAUAGCCUUAUUCUCUUCACCAAAAACAGAAGUCAACUUGUUCAUAUCUAUAUACCUAGGUCCCCAAUCAACUUCUUUCUCUUAAUAACCACAAAACCCAUCCUUAUUGGCAAUUAUAAUUUCCUUCACCCCUUUAUACACUUUCUUCCACAUAUUAAGAUAAAACCAAUUAUUUAUUUAUUUUGGAUCACAAAUAAAUAGAUUCAGAAAAGGUGUAAAUCCUUUUUCCUAGUAUAGAAAGAAAAACUCGACCAAAACACCCCAUGCAUUAGGCAAAAGUUGGUUAAGGUUUACUCGAUAAUUCUUAUGAAAAUUGUUGAAGAAUGAAUGAAGGGUAGAUGAAAUCCAUAGGCAAAUAAAUAAAUAUAAAAAAGAGAAAGUUAUCACCACAACAUAAUCCUUAAAAGUAAUCAAUGGACUCACCUUUUCAAAGGAUUUUCAAAACACCAUUACAAAAGGCAGAUCAUACACCACAAUUGAUAAAGUGUCUUACUCUCACGUCACAAUUCAAAAUUCUUGUUUUUCUUCCAUGACAUAUGGUAGAGCCCUGUCCCUUAGGGGAACCUGUCAAGCCAAAAAUGACUCAUAUAAUUACUCCCACGACAUAUGGUAGAGCUUUAUCCCUCUAGGGAAGUUAGUAAAAAAUGGCUCUCAUUAAUUUUAUUUCUCCCAUGACAUGUGAUAGAGGCUUAUCCUUCAGAGAAGC